rnacentral:lncRNA from 1 species
CUCCACUCUUCUUGUUCUUAUAAUACAUUUGGGAGGCCUGUCAAGGCCUAUCCACUCUCUAAAUAGCUUUGCAGAUUAAAUUUUUAACUCUCUUCUCUUCAUGCAGAUGUAUAUUUCUGACAAAGAAUUGCCCUGAGAUGUCAGCUUCCAUUUUUUUCACUGGAGAGAAAGCAUAUAGGUGCAAGUGUGGAUUCUCAAGUCUCACCCUCAUCAGGAAACACACACAUACACAUAGAUUCUCCUCUCUAGGACCAUGCAUCAGUAUUGGUGUGGCUUCUUCCUUCUGGAUUUUUUACUCAUACUUUCUUCUCUCUCCUUACCCUUCCAUGGGGCUUGAAGCACAGAGCCACCAUGUAGGAAGCCCAGCUAUCCUGAAGCUCCAUGCUGGAGAGAAUACACUGAGAAAGAGAUGCCAAGGAGUCCCAGCUGUUUCAGCCCCUUCCUGUUUCCAGACUAGGCACCAAUAAUGUGCGUAAAGAAGCCUUUCAUAUGGACCUCCCACCCUCUGUAGCCAUUGCAACCUCAUGAAAGACCCUGAGCAACAAAUGCCUAGCUAAGCCCUUCCAGAAUUCUUGACCCACAGUAACCAUAAUAAAUAAUUGCAGGUGGUUUUUUUUUUUUUUCUUUUGAUGGAGUCUCACUUUGUCGCCCAGGCUGGAGUGCAGUGGUGCGAUCUCGGCUCACUGCGACCUCUGCCUCCCGGGUUCAAGCAAUUGUCUGCCUCACUCUCCCGAGUGGCAGGGAUUACAGGCGCUCGCCACCAUGCCCGGCUAAUUUUUUUGUUUUUUUAGUAGAGACAGGGUUUCACCAACUUGGCCAAGCUAGUCUUGAACUCCUGACCUUGUGAACCACCCGCCUCAGCCUCCCAAAGUGCUGGGAUUACAGGCAUGAGCCACCGUGCCCGGCCAAUUGUGGAGUUUUAAGCACUAGUUUUUGGGGUGAUGUGUAAUGCAGCAAUUGUAACUGGAAGGGAUUCCCAGAGAAGACGACAGUUGCAGGGAAUGGAAGUUAGAGGGAGCAGUUGCCAAGAGCAAAGUGAGGCUGUGCCCUCUCAACCUAUGGACCAUCCCCACAACUUGAGGAUGCUUGUACACUCUAGUAAAGAGGGAUGUCAUAUAAAGGAACAUAUUGAGUCCCACUGGAGAUAGUCAAGAGAAGCAGAUGCAGCUUUUCUGCUAUUUAGAGAGAAGGUAAGCUUCAAGCUGAUCAGGUCAAAGAGAGUUGGCAACAGCCCAGGCAGGAGCAAGAAGAGUAUUUAGUUAGGAGAAUGGGAGUGGCUUCUGGAACAGAAGCUAAAACCCAGAACAGUAAUUGCAGAUCUGUGGUCAGCAGCUUUAGUUGUCUAUUAAAACCUUCAUCCCUCACCAAGGAAAGCCUAGCGUCACAUUCCAGUGUUACCACUUGCUAACUGCAGAAACGUAGGCAAGUUACCUAUCUCCUCUGUUCCUCAGUUUCCUCAUAUGAAAAAGGCAAGAUAAUAAUAGUGCCUAAUUCAUAAAUUAUGAUUAUGGGGAUUAAAUGAGUAUUUGCAUGUAACGUGCUUUGAAAGUGACUGAUAGAUAGCAAGGACUCAGUACAUUUAAGCUCUUAUUAUUA